rnacentral:rRNA from 1 species
GACGUUGGAACAGCGGUUAGGAGCUUACACCCACCCGUGUUUACAUACUAUUGUUGCUUUGGCGGGCCGUGGCCUCCACUGCGGGCUCUGCUCGUGUGUGCCCGCCAGAGAACCAAACUCUGAAUGUUAGUGAUGUCUGAGUACUAUCUAAUAGUUAAAACUUUCAACAACGGAUCUCUUGGUUCUGGCAUCGAUGAAGAACGCAGCGAAAUGCGAUAAGUAAUGUGAAUUGCAGAAUUCAGUGAAUCAUCGAAUCUUUGAACGCACAUUGCGCCCUGUGGUAUUCCGCAGGGCAUGCCUGUUCGAGCGUCAUUUAACCACUCACGCCUAGCGUGGUAUUGGGGCACGCGGUCUCCGCGGCCCUCAAAAUUAGUGGCGGCGCCGGUGGGCUCUAAGCGUAGUACAUACUCCCGCUAUAGAGUUCCCCCGGUGGCUCGCCAGAACCCCCAAUUUUUACAGGUUGACCUCGGAUCAGGUAGGGAUACCCGCUGAACUUAAGCAUAUCAAUAAGCGGAGGAA